AAACCAUGGUAUGGACACUUGUGCAACAUCAAUUUGAAGCGCUCCCAAGCCUCAUAUAAUAACUCUCCUUCCAAUUUUCAAAAAUUUGUAAUGUCUAUCCGAGUUU
rfam:Gossypium raimondii Chr04_contig_420, whole genome shotgun sequence.